AAAAAUCAUAUCAAUCUUUCCUUUAUUGAUAAUAUUGAAAAAGAUGAAACAACAGUUCUCUUAUGUUUCAACUUAUUGAUCUCAAAUAAAGAAAAACUUUCUCUCGGUCUUGAGCUAAAUAUACUCAAAGAAAAACUCCUCUCGUUAGAAAAAUAUCUUUCUAUUUUAAACAAGAAAACACUUGUAUCUCGCUAACCAAUAAUUAUCUUCACAUUAAAAAAGAAAAAGUUUUUGAUCAUGCUAAACGCACACAACUUAUUUUGAAUUUAUGGGCAUCCUCUUAUUUUAAUGUCACAAGAAUCACUAAUGCUCAGAUUCGAGAUCAAUGUAGUAAAAUUCUUAGACGUUGUAUAGAAGGUGUUGUUUCUUUAACCAAAGUUGAAACUAAACAAACCUUAUAUGAAGCUAACCGCUUAAAAGAUAACUUUAAAAGUAGAUUUGCGAGUUCUUACUUUAUAAAUCCAACUUUAAUCAAUAGUCACCGCUCUAUUGAUUUUAAUGGCAUUACUAAAUGUGUUUCUAAAAUAUAUGAUCUUGAUCCUUCUCUCCAACUGUAACAUUCCAAAUUUCGAGUUCAAAAAUUUUGUUUGUAAAUAAGUAAUUUAUAAAAUCGUUUACUGAAAACAUUGUCAAUAUCAUAUCAAUCCAUAAACCAUCAUGAACAUGUCUCAAAUCAAAACAUCAAACAAUAAUAUAAAUCUGAGUACAAUCCUAGAAAAGUCAUUGCGGAAAUUAUGUGUGUGUGUGUGAUGCGCUAGUACACCGCCGACUCUUUCCCCUUGGAUGAAAAGGUACCUGAAACCAAAACUGAAUGUGUAAGAACAAAGCUUAGUGAGUUCCGCCAUCAUACCACAUACUAUACAAUCAUAAAUGUUGUCGGGCAAUUAUGGGGUGCCCGACCUACCCAUGUCAAGCCAUUUUAGGGUGCUGACUACCCGUGUCAAGCCAUUAUGGGGUGUUGAAUACCCGUGUCAAGCCAUUAUGGGGUGUUGACUACCAUGCUAUGCCAUUCUGGGGUGCCUGCCUACCCUCCAGUCUAUCUCACCCGGUCACGGGGACUAUUUCUCCCCUAUAACUAUCACAUAAUAACAUAUCAUAAACGUACUGUCAGACAUAUAUGGGGUGUCCGACCUACCCUUCGGUCCUAACAACCGUUCGGGGGACUAUUCCCCUCCUAAUACCACUAUCACAUAGAACAUAACAUACUGGCACAUAGAACACUUAAAGCAAUAGCAAACCAAACAAUUAUCACAAAGACAAUCAUCUCAACUGUAAUCAACUACUAGUGGGUUGGCCUUGAUGCCUUAGACCCACUUGUACUGGAAGGUAACUCACCUCAAUGUCGCGUAGUGUAUGCACUGUCCCCGACGUGAAAAUCGACUUUCCUUGAAUCCUUAAUCACUACAUGACAACUCUACUAAGUUAUCAACUCGUACUCACAACCUCACAAGGGGUCAACCCAAAUCCUGGUCAAAGUCAACCUCCAGUUGACUUGACUCGCUGAGUUGGCCUACAAAAUCGUCGGGUACCUAAUCCUUCAAAAUGAUCCAACCCCCAACUCCACUCAUCGAGUCUAGCAACAACUCGACGGGUCCUCCUUCAACCAUAAAAUCGGGACCAUCUUCAACCGACUCGCCGAGUUCCCAUUGAAGUCGUCGAGUUCAUCUCCCUCAUAAGAAUGUGAUCAGUCUAUGACUCGCCGAGUUGUAUGAACAACGCGUCGAGACCAUCUUCAUGGUUUGGGAGAUUGCCUUGGACUCGCCGAGUUUGUUCAUACACUUGUCGAGUCCUAAGAUUUCCAGGUCUAUACUCACGCCCAUCUUUGCUGAGUCUCCCUUCUAGACUCAACCAGAUUCCUCCGAAACAAAAGGUUGGGGGAAACAACGCUCAACUCGCCGAGUCCCAUGAACAACUCACCGAGUCCCCUAAAGUCCAUGUCCAUAAACUCGAUUUCUGUUGAGCUCAUCUCAUCUAAAGGGUAGAUCUGACCUCCUAGGGUCGAUAUAAAACAUAAAGUUACGAACUUUACGUCCAUGCAUGGGUCUUUAAGCUCAAAAGGACCAAAAAUGAGACCUACAAGAUGCAUGGGACUCUCAUGGCCAUAGAGUUGGCACCUUCCAAAGUCCAAGAUCUGAAGCCAUAUCUCUACAGUACACCCCACAGCCCGAUAAUGGCUUAGAAAUGCCCUAAAGAUACCAAAAUCCAAGCCCUAAAGUUGAUUAAACACAUGGAAGGUCAAGAUUGAAGCUUUUUACCUUAAAUGAGUUGGAAAUGGAACACAAUCUCUGGAUCUUCUAGCUUCAACUUGAACUCCCAAGCUCCUUUCUUCUUCUCAAGCUUUCACAACCACCAAAAAUGCACAAAAUGGCUUAGGAUCACUGUAAAGUCCCGAAAAUAGAUCUACCAACGAUCAAAGACAAUCACAGAUGCAAACACAAAUUAAUAAACCAAUAAUGAGUAAAACACCAAGCUUGCAUACGCUUUAAUACUGUAAAACGUCUGAUACAACUUGGAAGUAUACGAGAGCAUCAACAACUCAUAAAGGCUGACAUAACUCGCUAUUUAAAGACCUGACUAGGAACCGUAAGGUGUUUACGGCCGUAAACCCAUUUUGACCAUAAACACCGUAAACUCAAAACAAAACACGAACAAUUACAUUUUUACUGCUAUCUACGACUAUGCCUAGACCAAACCAUUUUACAGAGUCUUUCAAUCUCCCCCUUGGUUUGGACUAGCUCGGUCCCAUUCCUUUCUUUACUAGCAUAACAUCCAUUUGGCCCAUAGCACCAUUCCACAUCUUUUUGCUCAAAAUCUCAGCAACCAUCCUGGUAUACACCUUUGCUCCAUGCUCAUAGAUAUCUUCAACCACUUUGAUUUGAAAAUUGCUCAGAUAAUGAAUAUCCCACUUCCUGAACUGCAUAAGGUCUCUUUGAUCAUACAACCGUAUGCACCCAUUCUUGAGCUUAAUGACUGCACCACAAGUACUUUCAUCAUAAACCCAACACUCCAUAGAACCGAGCGAUCCAUCUUUAUAACCUUGAACAAUGGGAAAUUGUUUAACUUGAGUCGUGGGAGGCCACAUAACCAACUGUAGUGGUUUAUCAGAAGAAGCUUCAAACACAUCUGGAUGUUCCAGAAUGAUUGACUCAGCAGUUGGCAUUGUAGGAAAUCCCUUCUUCACUUGCUCAUCUAGAAAGAAUUUGAACUGUGAAACCUGAGGAUUGUUUAAUAGAUUAAUAAACGGAGCUUGUGAUAACUCCGCAAGAUCAACCCUUGUCAACGAACUAAAGGCGCGAAUAUCCUUAUACAACUCUGAAUUACCACUCUUGCGAAUAAUAAUCCAAAGUCGAAGAGGAUCGUGAAAUCCCCAAGCAGCUACACCCGACCGAUCUCCAAAAGUAUCUCUGAACCGAACAAUUUCAAGAUCAGUGACAGUGAUCAAAGAUUCCCCUUUAGAAUUGCUCUGAGUAACAUUUCGCUUGAAUAAUAAUUGCCCCCUUUCAGUAUCAUCUUCCUGAUUUUUCCGAAUGAUCUCUUGAAUAUGAGAAGCCAUAGGAGGAACAACUCCAAUACGCUCAGCAGAACCAGAAGAUUGACCAGCUGGCACAUCUACUGGAUACGCUUGCACAUGUAAAUUUAUUCUUUGUUCUUCUACGCUUGUUUUAUACUUCUCACCAAAAUCAUCCUCCAGUUUCUUUUUCAAUUCGAAGUAGCUUGAAGUCAGCAGAUUGAAAUGUUCUUGAAGGUCAGAAAUCUGCUUAUCUUUUACUUUUCUAUCCCUCUUAACUUCUGCGAGUUGUCCGCCAAGAUAAGUUCUAUCUGACUGAAGUUUAGACACUUGAGUACAUAGCUCAAUGUUCUGAGCACGAAGUUCAGCUACCUGAAUGUCAAGCUCUAUGUUCUUCUGACUUAAUACCGAGAUCUCCUUUCGUAAACUAUCAUCAGAUGAAUCAUCAUCAGGAGCACCCCCUUCACUCAUAGAAAUGUUCUUUCCUUGAGGGCUAGACGAACGAAACUGUUCCUCUGCCAUAUGCAAAGCUAGUCUCUCAGAAGCAGCAUCCCUACUAAAUCUUGGAACAGGAAAACCAGGCGGAGCUGAAGGGCCACCAACAUCAAAAACUGAACUAGGUCCAGUUGCAAACAUCUUUGUUACAGAAAGUCGUGUAGUAGCAGUAGUGAUUGGUGGUGUAGGAAGACCACUGACCAAACUAGUAAUUAGCUCGGAUUGUCUUUCAUCAAGUCUUCUCCUCUUAGAUUGAGGUUGGUCAGCCUGUGGAGGUAUUACACUAACAAAUGGUUCAGAUGUAGGAGAAAUAGACACGGGAGGGGAAAAUCCCACAACUACCUCCAUUGGAGUUGAAGUUGACACCAUCUGCUCGGAAAUUGGAGUAAAAGUUUCGCUCGUUUUUCUCUUCUCAGUUGACGGCAAAACACUAUCAUCAACAUUUUGAAAAAUCGUGUCAAAUAUCUCGUUGGACACAACAUUAGCACUACUAGCUAAAGAAGCCGCAAUAUCAUCAUUAUCAAAUCCCGUAAGAUCAAGAUCUUCAAAUGAGUCUCGUCCAUCAUCACCGGUACCUAUUUCCCUUUCAUCCUGUCUUUCAUUCGACUCAUGUUCAUGACUAGAGGUACUUUGAUCUCUCUGAGCUGGUGAAUCUUCAUCAUCUUCAGUCACGUCUAUCACAAAGUUUGCUGGAGUCGAACCCUUAGUAGACGUUUUCUCAGAGGAGGUCGGUUCUGAUGAUUCAUAUGACACUGGCGUCUCAUCCAAUUCUGUAAACUUACCGAAUUUUUCCAAUCGAUAACGCCCUCGAAAGACAACUUUUCCUAUCGAUAACGCCCUCGAAAGACAACUUUUCCUCUUCGGUUUUGCUUAAUGAGUCCCACAGUGUGCGGACCCAAAGAUUUCAUAUCCAGGGUAUCUCCUGACUUCCUAACCUCAGGGAACUGCAUCUCGACAAACAAUUGAAUAAAGCGGGGAUAUUGGAGAAAAGUAUCCCUUGUAGAAGCCCGGAUGUUUAUGACAAAUUCCUCUAGGAUGAACUUUGAGAAAUUGAAAUGAAUUCCAGAGGCCAAAGAUACGAAUGCACCAGUUGUGCGUUGAGAAAUUUCAUCAGCCCCACUCCUUCUACUGGACAUACAACUUACGAACACAUGGGCCAGAAAUCUCCAAUAUGGAUGAAGCAGCUUUUUCAACGUUGGCGGGUAGGUUCCUUCAUAACUCAUACGUCGUAGUAUUCUCUGAACAUCCUCUAUGCCAAUUUCCGUCGGAUAGUUCGGUUGAUCAUCAAUCAGCAACGCAUUUCGAACAAAACUUUCAUCGAUUACAAUAUCUCGUCCUUGCACCUUCGCCGCGACUGUGAAAUUUCCAUCAUCAUCCAGCUGCGUCCUUGCCGUCGCCCAAAACUCACGAACGAUGUUCUGAUAGAUCACCGGAUUGACUGUCAAAGCUGAUGCAAUACAACAUUCACGCAACCUGUGAAUCAUUGAAAGCAUGUCGGAAUGAACGACAGGUGGAUCAGCAAGAACUAUCGCCAGAUUGUGCAUGUCUGCAAACUUGAGAUUUGCCAUUUUCCUGCACUCAANUUGUCAUUUUUGCACUUAAACACAGUUGUAAGAAACCUACACCAAUGAUAAAACUUAUUUUGACAAACAUAUGACAAUAAAAUUUGAUCAAAAUAAAAAUUAUUUAUUAGAGAUGUAUGUUUCUUAAAAAAUAAACCUUUUGACAGUUUUGGUUCUUGGGCCGUAAACUCUAGUUUACGGCCUAAAGAACUCCCUUAGAAAAAUUUAGGUUCACGGUUUAAGCGAGGAAAAACAAGCAAUCGUUACCCAGUCAAACUAAGAGCUUGAAUCGACAAAUGUUCUUGGGCCGUAAACUCCAGUUUACGGCCUAGAAAUUACUUCGAAAACACGAUGCAUAAUUAUCAUUGAAAUAUUUCAAACAGUCCAGAAAAGUUACACCUGAAUUCACGGGCCGUAAACUGGGAGUUUACGGCCUAUGAAUGUCUACACCGAAAANCAAUCGUUACCCAGUCAAACAAACAGCUUGAGUCGACAAAUGUUCUUGGGCCGUAAACUCCAGUUUACGGCCUAGAAAUUACUUCGAAAAUACGAUGCAUUAUUAUCAUUGAAAUAUUUCAAACCGUCUAGAAAAGUUACACUUGAAUUCACGGGCCGUAAACUGGGAGUUUACGGCCUAUGAAUGUCUACACCGAAAAAGGCUAAAAAUUUGUCUUUCACUUUGAGAUGACGAACGAGAAGCAUAUAUUCGUGAACACAACGAGAAGUCGCAUCAUAACAAAACAAUUUCGAAUCCAAAUCAUCAAGUUUCAGAGUUUACGGCCUAAGCUUACGGCCGUAAACUCCUCGACUUGAGUUUAUUUAAUUUUAAGCACAAUGCGAUGAGAUUCCGUGAAACGAAAUAUAUAUUCGUGAUCUACACGAUGCUACCUUCACGAUGAUAUACUUGUUUUUCCGAAAAUCGAAGAAAAAAUUUUCGACACCUUGAGAGCCUUUUGGGAGAGGUUUGCGGCCGGAAACUGAUGAGUGGGGAGAUUCCGGCCGUGAACUCCCCCUUUUUAUCCUUUUACCUUUCCACCUCUCUUACCCUCCUGCCUGUUAGCUACCCAGUCUGUCUAAUUUUUCGCCAAUUAAUAAAAAUACAAUCUUUUGAGGAUUAANAAUUUUUAAAAAAACUUUUAAAAUAAAAGUAAAAUAAAACUAAUAUAAAAUUUUAAGUUGAAAAAUUAAAUAAAAAAUAAAAGUAAAAGUAAAAUUAAAAUUAAAAUAAAAAAAUAGAAAUAAAAAUAAAAAUAAAAAUAAAAAAUCAACGUCAAAUAGAUUAAGAAAUACUUUAACUGCCACUUCUUUUGUGAUGCUUGGAUCAAAGUUAUUGGACGGCCUUAUUCUACUUGUCGGUACCCUUAUUUUCACAUCUUCGUCUGACCGAUUGCCAGUAUUGUGGUCCACUUAAACGCGAAGGAUUUGUGACAUUUUGGACCUUUUACCAAUGACAUGAUUCGGGCAUAUACCUAAUUGUAAAUUUCUGGUAAUUAUUAUAUCUCCUAAAUCUUACGUGAAAUUACCUUAUGACCAUUUAAUUGACUACAACCAGGGAUAUUGUUGUCCACCUAAAUUGAGCAGCGAGAUCUACAGACAAUCUGUAUGAGUUCAAUUUUUAGGUGUACUGGAACGUGUUUCCCGCUUCCUGAUAUGCCCCAGCCAUCAAGAACUUCCAGAGUACUCCUUACACCGGGUGAGCAGACAAUCAUUCAGAGAGAGAAGGGAUACAGAAUCCUAUUGCUAACUACUUCAGAGGGGUUGAGAAGAAGAAGGUUGCAUAUGCUGUGUACCAGGUCGGAUUAGAAGUCGCGCAAAGGAGACAGCAUGUGGCUAACAGAUGAGAAGUUUUUCACAUAUACAUUUCACACAUAUAUUUCAAGCGCAUAUAUAUUUCCUACAGAGAAAUGGAGUUGCAUAUGUUGUGUACCAGGUCGGAUUAGAAGUCGCGCAAAGGAGACAACAUAUGACUAACAGAAAGAAAGAAAGAAAACGAUUUUCUACAGACCUAAUUUAUCGGAAUUUACCAGUCGCCCCAUCCAACCGGAAUUAAGGACAGAAUCCGCACAUCGAGGAAAAGUUAAGCCACGGUUCCAAGUACGGGUUCAAUUAAUGUGACGAGUAGAUUCUCAUGUUUAUCUCCCUGCUCAACCUAUCCGAGCGUCGUGAUGUCAGAUUAAACGGAUCUAACUAGGUCAAAAUUUGUCGAGUCCUUAAAUUCAUUAGGUUCAACUUUCCUAGUCAAGUCCCCUUUUAAAAUCUUUCGCGCCUACCAGCACAUCGAGCACAGAGCGUAGAUGAUUCAACGUAGGUACGUUACGCCGAUUCAGGUCGUCCUUUAUCACUUAUUAAUAUCAUUUCCCAUCACACUACUUACAACGAAGGCUGCUUUGAAAUAACCCUAAUUUAGAUUCUUUACUGAAAUGACAUUAUUUUUGGAUUUUUGUAAUUUUUGUUGUUUUUGUAUUUUCUUUCUCCCCCUAAAUUUGUGCAUAGUUGAGAGUUUUAAACAAAAGAAAAAAAUGCGCAAAUUUAAACAUACCUAACAAAAAUUGAAGACAAACUUGGUAAAAUGUUAAAAUAGACUAAGAGGACCAAAAAAAAAUGAAAUAAAAUUAAAAUUAAAAUAAAAUAAAUAAAUAAAAAAACUAAAAACAAACAAAGAAAAGGAAAAUAAAAAAAACUUAAUCCUCAAAACGUAUCAUUUUCAGAAAUCCCACAAGCAUAUCAAAACGAGCUUUGUUAAAAGGUUUUGUGAACAAGUCAGCCACAUUGUUAUCAGUGUGGACUUGUUCGAUUCGAAUUAAAGAUCGUUCAUAACAGUCUCUGAUAAAGUGAAUUUUAAUAUCGAUGUGCUUGGUUUUAGAGUGUUGGACUGGGUUCUUAGCAAUUUGUAUGGCAGCCUCAUUAUCACAAUAGAUAGGGGUUUCUGAGUAAUUCAAACCGUAGUCCAACAGCUGAUGUUGGAUCCAAAUAACUUGAGAACAACAGGCUGAUGCUGCCACAUAUUCUGCCUCUGCUGUCGAAGUCGAGACAGUGUGCUGCUUCUUGCAUUGCCAUGAAACUAGUCUGUCACCUAGGUAUUGACAUCCUCCUGAAGUUGAUUUCCUGUCAAGCUCACAACCUCCAUAAUUGCUGUCAGUAAAAGCAUAAAGAUUAAAUUCAGAAUUCUUCGGAUACCAAAGACCCAAUUUAGGGCUUCCUUUGAUAUACCGAAAAAUUCUUUUAACAGCAAUAAGAUGAGAGAGUUUAGGAUUAGCCUGAAAGCGAGCGCAUUGACAAACUGCGAACAUAAUGUCUGGUCGACUUGCAGUAAGAUACAUUAGGGAUCCGAUCAUCGAUCGAUAAAGAGUUUGAUCUACGGGUUCGCCUUCUGGAUCUGGAGACAGGAGGGGUCGUUCAGCCAUCGGUGUUGAGGCAGAUUUAGCAUCAUGAAGUGCGAACUUCUCAAGAAUAUCAUCCACGUACUUGGCCUGAUGAAGAAGGAUGCCGGUUGAAUUCUGUUUAACCUGAAGCCCCAAAAACAUGGUCAUUUCUCCCAAAGAACUCAUUUCAAAUCGUUUCUUCAUUACACUUUCGAACUCCUUGCAAAGUUGUUGGCUUGUUGAUCCAAAGAUUAUGUCGUCGACGUAUAUUUGAACAAGUAUCUGGUCCUUGUCGACAUGCUUUAUAAAUAAUGUUUGAUCGAUAGUACCACGUGUAUAGCCAUGUUCGAGCAAGUGCUUUGUUAGAGUUGCAUACCAUGCUCUAGGAGCCUGAUGCAGUCCAUACAACGCUUUAUCCAACUUGUAGACAUGAUUAGGAAACUUUGGGUCGACAAACCCUGGAGGUUGAUCAACGUAGAUUUCUUCCUUCACCUUGCCAUACAAGAAGGCAGUCUUGACAUCCAUCUGAAAAACAGUGAAGUUCAUAUACGAAGCGUACGCCAAGAAGAUACGAAUGGCCUCUAAGCGAGCUACGGGAGCAUAAACCUCAGUGUAGUCAAGACCCUCGACUUGUCGAAAUCCGCGAACUACCAAUCUGGCCUUGUUUCGCACAAUGACCCCUGAAUCGUCCUGCUUGUUACGAUAAACCCAUCGUGUGUCAAGAGACUUUUUGCCCUUUGGUAACUCAACUAACUUCCAAACACCUAGUUUUUCAAAUUGAUGCAAUUCUUCAUGCAUCGCAUCCACCCAGCUAGGUUCAUUUAGAGCCAUUUCUACAUUCUUGGGCUCAAUUUGAGAAAUGAAACAAGAAUACAGACAUGUAUUCACGUCUCCACUUUGACUUCUGGUUUUAACACCACUGUCUAGCUGGCCUAUAACGUUCUCGAGCGGAUGAUCUCGUUGAAUCCUAGAGGGAAUUUCUUGGCUGAUGUCAUUGAUAGAGACAGGUAGAGUGUGAAUGUUAAGUCCUCCUUCAUUUGCUUGUUGAGUAGAACUAGAUGGUUCUGCAACAUACUCAUCGGCGAUAAGGUCAGGAAAGAGUAAUUCCAUCAGGUUUGAAGAGACAGCGGAAGCAUCAGUUGGAAUGAACUCUUUCUCUAAUAAUGUGGAAGGUCUUGAUUCAACAUUCGAAGAAUCAAUCUGGUCUGAUUGAGGAUUGAAGGAUGUUGCAGAAGAUUCCCUUUCAAUUUCAGCAGACGGCUCCCCCUCAGAUGAAGCAGAGGACUCCCCCUCAACUGGAGCAGAAGAUUCUCCUUUGUGCGAAACGGAGGACCCCCAUUCAGUAGAAGCUUUAGAUUUUUCUUUCAGUGAAUUGGAGGUUUUAGAUACAGGUUUGUAUACUACUUCUUCGACUUCAUCUUCAGAGAUACUCUUCAAAUGCGAAUCAGUUCUUGAAACAUCAUUUGAAUACACGUUUAAGGAUUUGAAAAGUGACGUGUAAUCAAAUAACCAGUCCGGACCCACUCUCGCGUCUGUCUCAUUCUCUUCUAACCAACGCACGUCAUAGGAUUCCACAAUCUGUUUGGUUUUCUUGUUGUAGACUCGAUAAGCGGUACGUGCAGCAUACCCAACAAAAUAGCAGUCAUCAGCUUUGGCAUUAAACUUCGGAUUGGCAUCUAGGUGAAGAAGGGUGCAAGGACAGCCAAAAACUCGAAAAUGACUAACUGACGGUUUGUGACCAUAGUAAAUUUCAUAUGGAGUUUUCAUUUGAGCUUUGUUGAUGAGUACUCGAUUUUGAACAUAACAGGCAGUGUUUAUUGCCUCUGCCCAAAAGAAAACAGGGAGCUUGGAGUCACACAACAUCGUCCUUGCUGCAUCCUUAAGUGUUCUGUUUCGCCUCUCAGCAACACCAUUUUGUUGAGGUGUGUGAGCGGAACUAAAUUGAUGUAAGAUCCCCUUCUCAGAACAGAAGUGAUUGAGAACCGAAUUCUUGAAUUCCGUACCAUUAUCGGUGCGAAUAGCCUUCACCCUAUGAUUGGUCUGAUUCUCAAUAAGUAUGAUGAACCUCUUGAUCAAUUCAGCGACGCCAGCUUUGUUGGAUAGAAAGAAAACCCACGUAAAACGAGAAAAAUCAUCAAUGACAACUAGACAGUAGGAACUCCUAUUGAUGCUUAGCACAUUCACUGGACCAAAUAGGUCCAUGUGAAGAAGUUGUAGAACCUGACUUAUUGAGUUAACUUGCUUCGGUAAAUGUGGCUUUCGAUGAUGCUUUCCUUGAGCACAGGACACACAUUUCUCAAACGUGAUAAAGUCUUUGACAGGUAAUCCUCGGACCAUCUCAUUCUUUGCAAGACGAUUGAGAUUUUUGGCAUUGGCAUGACCUAAUCUUCGGUGCCAUAACAUUGCGGUUUGCUCAGUGAUCUUGGAGAACAAACAAGUAACCUGCUUUGGAAGAUUGCUAUUCAUAUCGAUAAUAUAGGCAUUUCCAUCCCUUUUUGACUUUACGAGAAUCCAUUCUUCAGGGAUGACAAAACCUGGCUUUAAAAUCAUGCAUUCCUUGUCAGUGAAAUGCGUAGAAUAACCUUUGUCACAGAUUNUUUGAUACCGUGCCCUUUUGAGUAAUUUUUCCUCCAUCUCCACUUGCAAAAGAGACAUAUCCCCUAUUAAAUGAUUUAAUGUCGUUCAACUGGGUGAUGUCUCCUGUCAUGUGCCGGGAACAGCCGCUGUCGACGAACCAUGGUCUGACGACAUUUCCCCGCAACUGCCCCUGCAAAAUGGGUGGGUUUAAUUAGAUUUGGGCACCCAGGCCAUAAUCUUCCUGGGUGAUCCCGAUACCUUUUCAGAUUUAUUGCACAUGAGCUUCUCUGAGGAUACAGAAGACGUAUUGGGAAUAGAUUUGGGUUUCCAUAUAUAAUUAGGUUUUUUGAAAAAUUCAGUCAACUUUGUCAUUUUAUGUGUGACGAUCUGCUUAAAGCAUGAUUUACUUCUACCAGAAUUGGUUGAAGAUCCAUUAUAGCUUUGGGAUGAGCUUGACCUUUGCAUGGUUAGCUUUGGGAUGAGAUUAAAAAACCUUUUAUGACUGUGAAAUAUGCCCCUUUUUCUAUUUCUUUUAUCUACCCAAUAGUCAUUUCGAGAGCGACUUCUAGAGGAAUUUCUAUUUAAUGAUCUUCCUCUGAAUUCGUUCUCUCCUCUUGGAAGAUUAUAAUUCACGAACAUUCGAUUAAGACAAUUUCGAGCAAUAUGACCCUUAGUGCCACAAUUAAAACAAAUCUGAUAGUUAUUGUUAGAACUUGUGUUGCAUUUGUCAGAUUUGUUUUCCCCACAAACACCCUUGCUUGUCUCACAAAAACAUGCAGUAUUAUCAAGUUGUGAGGCAAGUGAGGGUGCUGUAUUUAUUGAGGGUUGUGAGACUAAUGGUAUGUUAACAUUUUUAUCACAGACGUUUAAAUUGUCAACCAAAGUGUUCAAAGAUUUAUCAGAUAUAUCAGAAACAUUCAAAACUGUAUCAGAAUAAUUUAAAACACCAGAAGCAAAAUUGUCACUCAAGACAUUUAACAAAGAAUUGUCUUUAUUUAAAAUAAAAGCUUCAGGUUUUGGCUCGAUUUUAUUUUCAGAAACACAUCCUUCAACUUUGUGCUUUGACUGAUUCAAGGAUUGAUCUGCAGGAGAAGUAGAAAUGUUAGUACUUUCAACAUUAAUAAAUCCUCCCGAAACAAAACCGGAGGGCUUGCCAUAAAUCAUAAAUGAUUCAUUGGCAAUCUCUUCUUUGGACAAGGGCUUGGGCUCGUAUGAAUGAUUGAAGGGAGGAGGAACAAAUUUAUAUCCUAGACCUUUUGAUUGAUUUCUUUUAAACUGCAUACUUUGGUCUAUCAUAUUUGCAACCACCUCACUUGAGAAAUCAUAUUUUCUGACAUCAAGUUUGGCGGUCUCAAAGUUUCCUUUCAAGGAUUCAACUUCAGCUACAAGCUCAGCAUUUUGUUUGACUACAUAAUUGUAAUUUUCACAUUUGUUGCUGUAGUCUUCCUGGAGUCUCCUAAAGUCUUUAAUUUUUGAUUCUAGUUGAGCUUUAAGUGGUUUUUGUCCUUUUCGAAGUCGAUACCCUUCAUAUCUAAGGUCUUCUACGUCUCUUAUUAAUUUAUCAUUGAGUUCACGAAGAAUCCUAAGAUUUUCUACUUCAUUACCUAAUGUCUCAAUUUUAUCCUGUAAAGUUUUCACAUAAUCUAUACAAGCCUUAGAACAUGAUGGGAGACUUACCUUGUAUGAGUUAGGUUCAUGGGAGGAGGAUACCAUCAAGCCAAAUUGAAGUUUCAUCAUGUUGUCUUCAGCUGCUGCAGUCCUUGCUUGAGCGUCAUUCCUCACUUGUGCUAGAUGAGCAUUUUCUGGUCCAGACAAAUUUAGGGCUUGUAUUUGAUCAUCCCAGUCAAAUGAUUGAGCAACCAUAGCCUUUUCAUUGUUUGCUUGACCACUGCUUCGAUUAUUCCCAACUGCAACCAUUGUUCUGUCAUUAUUGACCCUCCUAUCAGGGUGUGGGCAAUCACGAGCAAAAUGCCCUGGCUCGUGGCAAUUGAAACAUCGAAGCUUUCCUUUGUUGAAUCCAACCUUCUUGUCAGCACUCAUUCCCCAAUUGUUCUUCCCUGUCUUUUUGGCAAACUGUUUUGCCCUAAAUACAGCCAUGGCAAUUUGCCAUGUGAUGUCCAUUUCCUCAACAUCCUCUGGAUGGAUUUGAUCAAGAUCUGCAAAUGACAGUUGAGGAGGAAGUUCCCCAGCUACAAGAGCAUUGUAGCAAUUCACAAGCCCUGCUGCAAAGACAAGGUUUUCAUCACCCUCCUUUCCCUUUGAUGAAGAGGCCACAUUAGAGGAUGAAAUAUUUUGGGUAGAUGUAAUAGGCUGGCCUUGUGGGUAAGGAAUGACCGGUGCAGAGGAAGAUGAACCUGCAGAAGUAUAGGAGAAAGAAGAGAGAGCAUUAUUAGAUGAAAUGCCAAGAUUGGCAGAUGAGUAUGAGUUCACAUGAUUGAUCUCUCGCUGUUUGUCAUCAAUAUCACACGCUUUGAUGACAGCCAUCACUUCAGCUAGGGAAAGUCGAUUAAGAUCCUUAGUCUUCUUGAUUACUGCUACAUUCAUGUCCCAAGAUUUUGGGAGAGCAUUUAGUAGCUUCUUAUUAAUCUCUGACUUUGUAUAGAAAAUCCCUGCCACAGUCAUCUCAGUGUUGAGAGUGGUAAAUCUCUGCAGUUGAGCUUCGAGAGUCUCCCCAGGAACGUAAUUAAACAUAUUGAAGCGUUGUCUCAGCAUAUCUUGACGACUUUCCCGCAUGUCUUCAUUUCCCUCAUAUACUUCAAUGAGAGCUUCCCACAGAGCUUUGGCAGAAGUAUACUCUCUGAAUCCUUGAGCAAUGUCUGGAGAUAAUGCCAUAGUCAAAAUGGCCAAUGCCUUUUCUUGUUCUUCCACACUCUCAAAGUCUUCAUCAGUGUAAUUUUCAAUUGCCUUGUCGACCACCUUUCCCCCAACUGUAGUGGUGAUUCUGACUGGAUCCUUUAAAACACAUUUCCAAAUCUUAAAGUCUUUCAUCUUUAUAUACUUCUCAAUUCUAUAUUUCCACUCGGGAAAACCAUCAGCUGACAUAAGUCUUGGAAUUCGUGUGGUUGUACCCAUCACAGCAUCAAGCUCUUGGUAUUGAGUUGAAUUUUGUGUAUCCAUUUUUAUUUAAAAAAAUAUCACAAAAAAAUUUAAGGCUGUAAAGAUGCUGAUUUUGUCGUGUAAAUAAAGGCAGAAAAUACUGGGCCGUAAACUCCCGGCCGUAAACUGGAGUUUACGGUCAAAAGUUAUUUUGUUUUAAAACUAACUCAAUAAUUAAUUUCAAUUUUAUAAAAUCAACUCACGUAGCCGUAAACUUUUAAGCCGGAAACUCGAUGCCGUAAACCUCAAGUCAAGUAGUUUACGGCCGUAAACUUGAGUUUACGGUCCACGAAUACUUAUUGAUUUAAACUCCGAAAAAUAAUGGUUCAAAUUUCGAUUAACAGAAAGUCAAUUUUUGUGAGUAAUUUAGUUUACGGUCAAUGAAAUUCAAAUAAAAAGUUCGAUUUUAAUUUUAAAACACAACUCAAUUAAAUCCCAGAACUAAGGUGUGAUUACGAAGGCUUGAGAGACGUGAAAAACUAUCGAUUUUGAAGAGUGCAGAUGAGGCCGUAAGAGGAGUUUACGGCCGUAAACUUAGGCCGUAAACUUCUGGAAACCUUGAUUUCGACUGAAAUAAAUUUCUCUAAACUGCAGUGGAUGUCGAUUUAGUUGAAAACGCAGCUGUUGAACGCCUUUGACACUGGUCUCGCUCUGAUACCAAUUGUAAAGUCCCGAAAAUAGAUCUACCAACGAUCAAAGACAAUCACAGAUGCAAACACAAAUGAAUAAACCAAUAAUGAGCAAAACACCAAGCUUGCAUACGCUUUAAUACUGUAAAACGUCUGAUACAACUUGGAAGUAUACGAGAGCAUCAACAACUCAUAAAAACUGACAUAACUCGCUAUUUAAAGACCUGACUAGGAACCGUAAGGUGUUUACGGCCGUAAACCCAUUUUGACCAUAAACACCGUAAACUCAAAACAGAACACGAACAAUUACAUUUUUACUGCUAUCUACGACUAUGCCUAGACCAAACCAUUAUACAAAGUCUUUCAAUCACUUAAACAAGGCUUGGGUUUCAGUUUAAGGUCUUCUGGAAGUGCGAGGAACGAUGGAGGCUGAUAUGGGAGGAAAUAAGUUGUUUAAAUAGGGUGCAAACCCUCAAAUUUAGGGUUUCACUCAAACAGCACCUACUCGCCGAGUCGGUCUCCCGAAUCGUCGAGUAGGUCACUUAAACCCCCGAAGAAAGACGAGUCUACUUGACGAGUUGGGCCUCCAACUCGUCAAGUCCCAGAGUAAAACUCGAAGUUUUAUUGAAUUAAAUACGUACCAGGAAUCGGAUGUUACAAAUCUCACCCACUUAUCUUAGACUUCGUCCUAGAAGUCUGCUGCUGAGUCCUAGAAAAGCUCGGGGUAGUGCUCCCUCAUCUCGUCCUCCGUCUCCCAGGUCCACUCCAAGCCCUUGCAGUACUGCCACUACACCUUCACUAGCUCCACCCUCUUGUUCCUCAGAUCCUUCGACUUCUUGUCGAGGAUCACCACUGGCCGCUCGAUGUAGUUCAGGUUGUCAUAUACCUGAAUAUCCUCCAAGGGCACCACUGCCGAGUCGUCCACCAGACAUUUCCGUAAUUGGGAGACGUGAAAAGUGCUAUGAAUCUGACUGGGUUCGGCUAGUAGGUCCAACCUAUACGCCACCUUGCCCACCCGGGCUACACUCCUAAAAGGUCCAAUAUUCCUAGGGCCCAACUUGCCCCGCUUCCUGAAUCGAAUGACGCCCUUCCAAGGCAACACUUUUAGGAGUACCAUAUCCCCGACCUGGAACUCCAGGUCCGAUCGACGCUUGUCGGCAUAAAUUUUCUGCCUACUCUGAGUAGUCUGAAGCCUGCUCCGAACCUGCUGGAUCCUCUCUGUAGUCUGGAGCACCACUUCGGUACUCCCCAGGACCCUCUAACCAACCUCACUCAACAUAUUGGGGUCCUAUACUUCCUCCCAUACAACAUCUUGAAGGGAGGACAGUCGAUACUCGCAUGAUAGUUGUUAUUAUAGGAAAAAUCCGCCAGAGGAAGGUAAGUAUCCCAACUACCUCCGAAGUCUAAAACACACGCCCACAGCAUAUCCUCCAGAGUCUAGAUGGUCCGCUCGCUCUGACCAUCCGUCUGCGGGUGAAAGGCGGUGCUAAAGUGCAGACGAGUACCCAGCUCAUCAUGAAACUUCUUCCAGAACCCGGAAGUGAACCGCACAUCCCUGUCGGAAAUCACUGAGACUAGCAC
rnacentral:lncRNA from 1 species